AGAGUUUGAUCCUGGCUCAGAGUGAACGCUGGCGGCAGGCCUAACACAUGCAAGUCGAACGGCAGCACAGCAGUAGCAAUACUGUGGGUGGCGAGUGGCGGACGGGUGAGGAAUACAUCGGAAUCUACCUUGUCGUGGGGGAUAACGUAGGGAAACUUACGCUAAUACCGCAUACGACCUACGGGUGAAAGCGGAGGACCGCAAGGCUUCGCGCGAUAAGAUGAGCCGAUGUCGGAUUAGCUAGUUGGCGGGGUAAUGGCCCACCAAGGCGACGAUCCGUAGCUGGUCUGAGAGGAUGAUCAGCCACACUGGAACUGAGACACAGUCCAGACUCCUACGGGAGGCAGCAGUGGGGAAUAUUGGACAAUGGGCGCAAGCCUGAUCCAGCCAUGCCGCGUGGGUGAAGAAGGCCUUCGGGUUGUAAACCCCUUUUCUCGGGGAAGAGUAAGGACGGUACCUGAGGAAUAAGCCUCGGCUAACUACGUGCCAGCAGCCGCGGUAAUACGUAGGAGGCGAGCGUUAUCCGGAUUUAUUGGGCGUAAAGAGGGUGCAGGCGGCUUUUCCAGUCGGAUGUAAAAUCUCCCGGCUUAACUGGGAGGGACCAUUCGAUACUGUUAAGCUAGAGGGCAGUACAGGGAGGUGGAAUUCCCGGUGUAGUGGUGAAAUGCGUAGAUAUCGGGAGGAACACCAGUGGCGAAAGCGGCCUCCUGGGCUGUACCUGACGCUGAGGCCCGAAAGCGUGGGGAGCGAACAGGAUUAGAUACCCUGGUAGUCC
rnacentral:rRNA from 1 species